rnacentral:rRNA from 1 species
AGAGUUUGAUCCUGGCUCAGGACGAACGCUGGCGGCGUGCUUAAUACAUGCAAGUCGAACGUGAAUCCCGACUUCGGUUGGGAUGAAAGUGGCGAACGGGUGAGUAACACGUAAGUAAUCUGCCUUCAAGUUUGGGAUAACCCUGCCAACGCGGGGCUAAUACCGGAUGUGGUCCAGCUGACACAUGUUGGCUGGAUUAAAGGUCGCGAGGCCGCUUGGAGAUGAGCUUGCGGCCCAUUAGUUAGUUGGUGAGGUAACGGCCCACCAAGACGAAGAUGGGUAGCCGGCCUGAGAGGGUGUACGGCCACAUUGGGACUGAGAUACGGCCCAGACUCCUACGGGAGGCAGCAGUAGGGAAUUUUGCGCAAUGGACGGAAGUCUGACGCAGCAACGCCGCGUGAAGGAUGACGGCCUUCGGGUUGUAAACUUCUGUUGGAUGGGAAAAAAAGCCUAGGAAUAGGAAUUGAUGGUACCAUUCGAGUAAGCACCGGCUAACUACGUGCCAGCAGCCGCGGUAAU